UACAGGGGGGGCAAGCGUUGUUCGGAAUUACUGGGCGUAAAGGGUCUGUAGGUGGCCAACUAAGUCAGACGUGAAAUCCCUCAGCUUAACUGGGGAACUGCGUCUGAUACUGGAUGGCUCGAGUGUGGGAGAGGAAUGCGGAAUUCCAGGUGUAGCGGUGAAAUGCGUAGAUAUCUGGAGGAACACCGGUGGCGAAGGCGGCAUUCUGGACCAUAACUGACGCUGAGACACGAAAGCGUGGGUAGCAAACAGGA
rnacentral:rRNA from 1 species